AGUGAACGCUGGCGGCGUGCUUAACACAUGCAAGUCGAACGAGAACGGAUUAUAGCUCGCUAUAAUUGUCAGCUAAGUGGCGCACGGGUGAGUAAUGUAUAGGUAAUAUGCCUUUUACUAAGGAAUAACAAAUGGAAACGUUUGCUAAUACCUUAUACUCCUUAUUAACCUAAGUUAAUAAGGGAAAGAUUUAUUGGUAAGAGAUUAGCCUGUAUUGUAUCAGUUAGUUGGUGGGGUAAUGGCUUACCAAGACUAUGACACAUAACUGGUUUGAGAGGAUGAUCAGUCACACUGGAACUGAGACACGGUCCAGACUCCUACGGGAGGCAGCAGUGGGGAAUAUUGCACAAUGGACGGAAGUCUGAUGCAGCAACGCCGCGUGGAGGAUGACACAUUUCGGUGCGUAAACUCCUUUUAUAUGAGGAGAUAAUGACGGUAUUAUAUGAAUAAGCACCGGCUAACUCCGUGCCAGCCGCCGCGGUAA
rnacentral:rRNA from 1 species